GGUGCUGUGGCUUAGUGGGUAAAGCCACCGCCUGCAGUGCCGGUAUCCCAUAUGGGCACAGGUUUUAGUCCUGGCUGCUCCU
rnacentral:tRNA from 1 species